ACUGAAAUCCUUAUAUGCAUUUUGUGUUCUGUUUUUACAUGGCAGAUAUCAGAAAACAAGAAAUCUAUAGAGAAGUUAAAAGAUGUUAUUUCCAUGAAUGCUUCAGAAUUUUCAGAGGUUCAAAUUGCACUUAAUGAAGCUAAGCUUAGUGAAGAGAAAGUGAAGUCUGAAUACCAUCGGGUUCAAGAA